AUCACUGUGGUAUUCGGACAAGGCACCAAGCUGACUGUGACAAGCUCCAGCCUCCCUCCUCCUGUCCUGACAGUCUUCCCUCCGUCCAGUGCUGAGCUCCAGUCCAACACAGCUUCUCUGGUCUGUCUGUCCAGUCAGUCUGUGAAAUUUGCAGAUGUCAGCUGGUUGGCUGGUGGGAGUCCAGUGAGCAGUCAGAUCUCUACCAGCACUGCUGUUCAGAGACCAGACCAGACUUACCAAAUCAGCAGCUCUCUGACCAUCCAGACAUCAGACUGGAACAUGGAUAAGGUUUAUACCUGUAAAGUGUCUUUGGGCUCCCAGACUUCAGAGAAAACCAUCAAGAAGUCAGAAUGUCCCACUGAAUAGUCGAGGAC